rnacentral:rRNA from 1 species
UAGGGAAUCUUCCGCAAUGGGCGAAAGCCUGACGGAGCAACGCCGCGUGAGUGAUGAGGGUCUUCGGAUCGUAAAACUCUGUUAUUAGGGAAGAACAAAUGUGUAAGUAACUAUGCACGUCUUGACGGUACCUAAUCAGAAAGCCACGGCUAACUACGUGCCAGCAGCCGCGGUAAUACGUAGGUGGCAAGCGUUAUCCGGAAUUAUUGGGCGUAAAGCGCGCGUAGGCGGUUUUUUAAGUCUGAUGUGAAAGCCCACGGCUCAACCGUGGAGGGUCAUUGGAAACUGGAAAACUUGAGUGCAGAAGAGGAAAGUGGAAUUCCAUGUGUAGCGGUGAAAUGCGCAGAGAUAUGGAGGAACACCAGUGGCGAAGGCGACUUUCUGGUCUGUAACUGACGCUGAUGUGCGAAAGCGUGGGGAUCAAACAGG